ensembl:lncRNA PVT1 Pvt1 oncogene
GGGGAAUAACGCUGGUGGAACCAUGCACUGGAAUGACACACGCCCGGCACAUUUCAGGAUACUAAAAGUGGUUUUAAGGGAGGCUGUGGCUGAAUGCCUCAUGGAUUCUUACAGCUUGGAUGUCCAUGGGGGACGAAGGACUGCAGCUGGCUGAGAGGGUUGAGAUCUCUGUUUACUUAGAUCUCUGCCAACUUCCUUUGGGUCUCCCUAUGGAAUGUAAGACCCCGACUCUUCCUGGUGAAGCAUCUGAUGCACGUUCCAUCCGGCGCUCAGCUGGGCUUGAGCUGACCAUACUCCCUGGAGCCUUCUCCCGAGGUGCGCGGGUGACCUUGGCACAUACAGCCAUCAUGAUGGUACUUUAAGUGGAGGCUGAAUCAUCUCCCCUUUGAGCUGCUUGGCACGUGGCUCCCUUGGUGUUCCCCUUUUACUGCCAGGACACUGAGAUUUGGAGAGUCUCUUCACCCUCUGAAAACAAGAGGAUGUGUAGCAUAGUGAGCAACAGCUGUGUGCCGGGGACUCAGCAUUAAGUAGCAUGGGAUUACUCAUGACUUCGCACUCAUGGCAGCCUCACAGAGUCUCACUCUGUGGUCCAGGCUGAAGUACAGUGGCAUGAUCCCAGGUCACUGCAACCCCCACCUCCCGGGUUCAAGUGAUCCUCCUGCCUCAGCCUCCCGAGUAGCUGGUAUUACAGGCGUGUGCCACAAAGCCUGGCUAAGUUUUGUAUUUUUAGUAGAGACGGGGUUUCACCAUGUUGGCCAGGUUGGUCUCGAACUCCUGACCUCAAGUGAUCCACUCACUUUGGCCUUUCAACGUGCUGGGAUUACAGGCGAGAGUCACCGCACCCGGACGACUCUGACAUUUUUGAAGAGUCCAGAAUCCUGUUACACCUGGGAUUUAGGCACUUUCAAUCUGAAAAAAUACAUAUCCUUUCAGCACUCUGGACGGACUUGAGAACUGUCCUUACGUGACCUAAAGCUGGAGUAUUUUGAGAUUGGAGAAUUAAGAGUGUGGGCACCCUGGCUUCAAGCUCACGAGAAACCAGGUCGGGAUUUAAACAAUGUUGGGUUAAAGCAAAGUUUCAUAAAGACAGAAUCAAGAAAAAAAGAAAGAGAAA